CACAGACACCGCAUUACCCUGGGAAUUCAGUUUUGACACCCCUGCUGGAAACAUGCAAAAUGUUUACUUAUCAAAAGCUCCUCCUCUUCCAGGGUCCGUUCAUCAUCGUACUCAUGGACUAACAUCUCCGCUGUGGGGUCAAAAUCAUGAUCUUCCGAAGACAAAGAGCCAACUGCGGAUUGAAAAUGACUGCUUAAUUCAGAAGUUCUCUGACCCACGACUACUGAAUCCUGGCUGGCUCACAACGGGCUCACAAUGAGACUGACACAAUUAAUUGGAAUGGAAUUUCAUGCCAUCCUCUCUGUCCUGGAGAAACUGUAGAAGACUCCAUGUCUCAACUCCACAAUGGGGAACAUGGAUCUCCAUACAUCUGCGGAGCUGCAGAUUAUAAUACCUGGGACUGUGGAACACUUUAAUGGACUGGAUUCAUAACCUUUUUUGCUAAACCUUCCAAUGUGUAUAGUCUGUGUUGUGUACAGAUUUGUACAUGUUUGUCUUAGUCUGGUGUCACAUGUUCUAUGUACAUAGAGACCAUUUGUGUCUGGGGUGCAUGGGGGGCCUUUAAAGAGGGGAGAGAGGUUGGAUAUCUUAUUGUGCAGUGAAAAAAAUAUUUGCCCCCUUCCCAAUUUCCUCUGUUA